rnacentral:tRNA from 1 species
GCCUGGGUGGCUCAGUCGGUGAAGCGUCUGACUUCGGCUCAGGUCAUGAUCUCACGGGUUCAAGACCCGCAUCAGGCU